rnacentral:rRNA from 1 species
GUAGGUGGAACCUGCGGAAGGAUCAUUACAGUAGUCGCCCGGGUUGCCGCAAGGCCUCCCGGGUAACCUACCACCCUUUGUUUAUUACACUUUGUUGCUUUGGCAAGCCUGCCCUCGGGCUGCUGGCUCCGGCCGGCGAGCGCUUGCCAGAGGACCUAAACUCUGUUUGUUUAUACUGUCUGAGUACUAUAUAAUAGUUAAAACUUUCAACAACGGAUCUCUUGGUUCUGGCAUCGAUGAAGAACGCAGCGAAAUGCGAUAAGUAAUGUGAAUUGCAGAAUUCAGUGAAUCAUCGAAUCUUUGAACGCACAUUGCGCCCCCUGGUAUUCCGGGGGGCAUGCCUGUCCGAGCGUCAUUACAACCCUCAAGCUCAGCUUGGUGUUGGGCCCCGCCGCCCCGGCGGGCCCUAAAGUCAGUGGCGGUGCCGUCCGGCUCCGAGCGUAGUAAUUCUUCUCGCUCUGGAGGUCCGGUCGUGUGCUCGCCAGCAACCCCCAAUUUUUUUCAGGUUGACCUCGGAUCAGGUAGGGAUACCCGCUGAACUUAAGCAUAUCAAUAAGCGGAG